CACUGUUUCGGUGCGGGCUGGGAGACCGGUACCAAAUCGAGACAAACUCAGAAUACCCAGAGCACACAUUGCCAGUGAGACAGUGGGGGAUAAGCUUCAUUGUCAAGAGGGAAACAGCCCAGACCACCAGCUAAGGUCCCCAAAUCAUCGCUAAGUGAUAAAGGAGGUGAGAGUGCACAGACAACUAGGAGGUUUGCCUAGAAGCAGCCACCCUUGAAAGAGUGCGUAAUAGCUCACUAGUCAAGCGCUCUCGCGCCGAAAAUGAACGGGGCUAAGCGAUGUACCGAAGCUGUGGGAUUAAGAAAUUAAUCGGUAGGGGAGCGUUCCGUCGUAGGUAGAAGCAGUAGCGGCAAGCAGCUGUGGACGAAACGGAAGUGAGAAUGUCGGCUUGAGUAGCGCAAACAUUGGUGAGAAUCCAAUGCCCCGAAACCCUAAGGGUUCCAGAGCCAGGUUCGUCCACUCUGGGUUAGUCCGGACCUAAGGCGAGGUCGAAAGGCGUAGUCGAUGGACACAGGGUGAAUAAUCCCUGACUAUUAUGUUGGAGUAUGUAUUGGGACGCAUGAAAGAUAGCCAUACCCUAAUUGGUUUGGGAGGGGUUUACGAACUCCGAGUGGUGAAGGAUAGUGCCAAGAAAAGCAAUGCAUAUGAUGAAGGCAUAGUACCGGUACCCGAAACCGACACAGGUAGGGAGGUUGAGAAUACCAAGGGGCGCGAGAUAACUCUCUCUAAGGAACUCGGCAAAAUGGCCCCGUAACU
rnacentral:rRNA from 1 species